AUUGUAAACUUCUGUUCGGGAUGAAGAUAAUGACAUUAGUCCCGGAGCAAGCCACGGCUAACUACGUGCCAGCAGCCGCGGUAAUACGUAGGUGGCAAGCGUUGUCCGGAUUUACUGGGUGUAAAGGGAGCGCAGGCGGGAGAGCAAGUCAGCGGUGAAAUACAUGGGCUUAACCCAUGGGCUGCCGUUGAAACUGUCCUUCUUGAGUGAAGUAGAGGCAAGCGGAAUUCCGAGUGUAGCGGUGAAAUGCGUAGAUAUUCGGAGGAACACCAGUGGCGAAGGCGGCUUGCUGGGCUUUUACUGACGCUGAGGCUCGAAAGUGUGGGGAGCAAACAGGAUUAGAUACCCUGGUAGUCCACACUGUAAACGAUGAUUACUAGGUGUGGGGGGUCUGACCCCUUCCGUGCCGCAGUUAACGCAAUAAGUAAUCCACCUGGGGAGUACGACCGCAAGGUUGAAACUCAAAGGAAUUGACGGGGGCCCGCACAAGCAGUGGAUUAUGUGGUUUAAUUCGAAGCAACGCGAAGAACCUUACCAGGUCUUGACAUCGAGUGACGAGUUCAGAGAUGAGCUUUUCCUUCGGGACACAAAGACAGGUGGUGCAUGGUUGUCGUCAGCUCGUGUCGUGAGAUGUUGGGUUAAGUCCCGCAACGAGCGCAACCCUUAUUGUUAGUUGGUACCAUUAAGUUGACCACUCUAGCGAGACUGCCCGGGUUAACCGGGAGGAAGGUGGGGAUGACGUCAAAUCAUCAUGCCCCUUAUGUCUAGGGCUACACACGUGCUACAAUGGCAAGUACAAAGAGAAGCAAUACUGUGAAGUGGAGCAAAACUCAAAAACUUGUCUCAGUUCGGAUUGUAGGCUGAAACUCGCCUACAUGAAGCUGGAGUUGCUAGUAAUCGCGAAUCAGAAUGUCGCGGUGAAUACGUUCCCGGGUCUUGCACUCACCGCCCGUCA
rnacentral:rRNA from 1 species